CCUACUUCCCGCCCGGCUCUCCAGCCAGCAGCCAACGCAUCAUCCAUUUUAACCAGCUUUUCAAGGUCACGACUUUUCAAUGCAGAGGCUGGCUUUUGCUUGACACAAAGCCAGCUAGCUUUAGGCAACCUGGAGUCGUGUUUGCCGUCUUGGUUCUGGAGCUGGGAUCUUGGUUUCUCCCCUGGUGGGUUGCGUGCAUUUUGCCUGCUUCCAGCUUUGGGAGAUGCAGUUGGGUGGUCAACUCGACGGCCCUGUCGCCCCCCGACUUCUGGCUGGUUCCGGCCACUUUGGGAGCCCGGCAGCUGGAUUCUCUAUUUCCCUGGCUCACUCCCUGCUUUGACUGAAGGUCACGGUGCCUCUUCUGAAUCCAGCUCGAACAUUAUUACCAAGAGACUUGUGAGAUGCAUGGCCACCCUGAAAGAAGAUGCUGGCUUUGCUCAAAGUGAUAAAUUGAAAUCCUGGUAUUUCAGAAAACUUAUGGCCACUGCGUAUAGCCAGGGGACCUGGAGACAGAGCGAACUGCAGGCGUUAAGGCAGAAAUAAGGAUUGCAUGGUGGCCUGCUGAGUCUGGGAGUCUUUGGAGAGAGGAAGUCAGCUUCAGCUCCCAGAGAUGGUCAGAGGGAGCAGAGAAAGGAGUAUAACCGAACAACAACCAACUUUGUGAAAUGAUUCUACAAUACCCACUGCUGUCCGAGGAAAGCGGGCUGUGUUCAUGAAAAGGUAUGUAUGUAUGUAUUUAUUUAUUUAUUUANGGAGCAGAGAAAGGAGUAUAACCGAACAACAACCAACUUUGUGAAAUGAUUCUAUAACACCCACUGCUGUCCGAGGAAAGUGGGCUGUGUUCAUGAAAAGGUAUUUAUUUAUUUAUUUGUCUAUUUUCUUCAGUUAAGCUGGGUUGAAAGACGUUAAGAGAGACUUUUGGAGUCCAUUUAAAUCUUUCCUACUGUGUGAUGCUGGGCAAG
rnacentral:lncRNA from 1 species